rnacentral:lncRNA from 1 species
CGUACUGUUGACAUCGGGGCACCACAGCUAUCCAUGCACAGCAUCAGAGAAAUGUGUGCCGUUGAUGAUAUUAGCCACUCAUAUGAGCAUUUCAAGGCAUAUUUUGAAGAAUUCACUGAGUUGGAUAGAAAGGUCAAGGUGGAUUACUAAGGUGUACCUUACUACUCCCUCCAUUUCAAAUUAUAAGUUAUUCCAAGAAUCUUGGAGAGUCAAAGCAUCUCAAGUUUGACCAAAAUUAUAGAGAAAAUUAUAAAGAUUUAUGACAUCAAAUAGGUAUACUAUGAAAAUUUUCAUAUAAUUGAUGAAGAACCUAAUGAUACUUAGUUAACAUCAUAAAUGUUAUUAUAUUAUCAUAUAAAUUUGGUCAAAGUUGAGAUGCUUUGACUCUCCAAGAUUCUUGGAAUGACUUAUAAUUUGGUGGGAUGGAGGGAAUAUUUGGUAGUAAAACACUAUUUGGUUAGCUAUGUUGCAAGGUGUACUUUACUGCGAAAUGGAUGAAUAAGUAAAAAAGACAAAUCUGGGAGGAUGUAUUAGGCAUACUUUGUUCUAAAUUUUAUCUAUUUAUCAUCUAACCCCAUUACCAAUAUGUUUUAAAUCAUUUUCGUUGAAUUGGCUUCCUACAGCAUUGGCAAGAUAUAUCUUAAAA